rnacentral:rRNA from 2 species
UCAGUCGAGCGGAUCUUCAUUAGCUUGCUUUUGAAGAUCAGCGGCGGACGGGUGAGUAACACGUGGGCAACCUGCCUGUAAGACUGGGAUAACUUCGGGAAACCGGAGCUAAUACCGGAUAAUCCUUUCCCUCACAUGAGGGAAAGCUGAAAGACGGUUUCGGCUGUCACUUACAGAUGGGCCCGCGGCGCAUUAGCUAGUUGGUGAGGUAACGGCUCACCAAGGCAACGAUGCGUAGCCGACCUGAGAGGGUGAUCGGCCACACUGGGACUGAGACACGGCCCAGACUCCUACGGGAGGCAGCAGUAGGGAAUCUUCCGCAAUGGACGAAAGUCUGACGGAGCAACGCCGCGUGAGCGAUGAAGGCCUUCGGGUCGUAAAGCUCUGUUGUCAGGGAAGAACAAGUACCGGAGUAACUGCCGGUACCUUGACGGUACCUGACCAGAAAGCCACGGCUAACUACGUGCCAGCAGCCGCGGUAAUACGUAGGUGGCAAGCGUUGUCCGGAAUUAUUGGGCGUAAAGCGCGCGCAGGCGGUUCCUUAAGUCUGAUGUGAAAGCCCCCGGCUCAACCGGGGAGGGUCAUUGGAAACUGGGGAACUUGAGUGCAGAAGAGGAGAGCGGAAUUCCACGUGUAGCGGUGAAAUGCGUAGAGAUGUGGAGGAACACCAGUGGCGAAGGCGGCUCUCUGGUCUGUAACUGACGCUGAGGCGCGAAAGCGUGGGGAGCGAACAGGAUUAGAUACCCUGGUAGUCCACGCCGUAAACGAUGAGUGCUAAGUGUUAGAGGGUUUCCGCCCUUUAGUUGCUGCAGCAAACGCAUUAAGCACUCCGCCUGGGGAGUACGGCCGCAAGGCUGAAACUCAAG